rnacentral:rRNA from 1 species
UUUUAUGGAGAGUUUGAUCCUGGCUCAGGAUGAACGCUGGCGGCGUGCCUAAUACAUGCAAGUCGAGCGAACAGACGAGGAGCUUGCUCCUCUGACGUUAGCGGCGGACGGGUGAGUAACACGUGGAUAACCUACCUAUAAGACUGGGAUAACUUCGGGAAACCGGAGCUAAUACCGGAUAAUAUAUUGAACCGCAUGGUUCAAUAGUGAAAGACGGUUUUGCUGUCACUUAUAGAUGGAUCCGCGCCGCAUUAGCUAGUUGGUAAGGUAACGGCUUACCAAGGCAACGAUGCGUAGCCGACCUGAGAGGGUGAUCGGCCACACUGGAACUGAGACACGGUCCAGACUCCUACGGGAGGCAGCAGUAGGGAAUCUCCGNAAUGGGCGAAAGCCUGACGGAGCAACGCCG